UGGGGAAUCAUGGUCAAUGGGCGAAAGCCUGAACCUGCGACGCCGCGUGAGUGAUGAAGGUCGUAAGAUCGUAAAACUCUUUUCAGGGAUCUUAAAGCCUGUCUGUCAACAACAGGCAGGUCUGACUCUCCCUGGAAGAAGCCCCAGCCAACUACGUGCCAGCAGCUGCGGUAAUACGUAGGGGGCGAGCGUUAUUCGGAAUUACUGGGUGUAAAGGGUAUGUAGGCGGCCCUUCAAGUAGCGUGUCAAAGUCCAGUGCUCAACGCUGGGUGUGCGCGCGAUACUGACGGGCUUGAGGGCUGGAGAGGUGGGCGGAAUUGCCGGUGUAGUGGUAAAAUACGUAGAGAUCGGGAGGAACACCAGCGGCGCAGGCGGCUCACUAGACAGUAUCUGACGCUAAGAUACGAAAGCGUGGGGAGCAAACA
rnacentral:rRNA from 1 species